AUACGUAGGUGGCAAGCGUUGUCCGGAUUUAUUGGGCGUAAAGCGAGCGCAGGCGGUUUCUUAAGUCUGGUGUGAAAGCCUUCGGCUUAACCGGAGAAGUGCAUCGGAAACUGGGAGACUUGAGUGCAGAAGAGGACAGUGGAACUCCAUGUGUAGCGGCGGAAUGCGUAGAUAUAUGGAAGAACACCAGUGGCGAAGGCGGCUGUCUAGUCUGUAACUGACGCUGAGGCUCGAAAGCAUGGGUAGCAAACAGGAUUAGAUACCCUGGUAGUCCAUGCCGUAAACGAUGAGUGCUAGGUGUUGGAGGGUUUCCGCCCUUCAGUGCCGCAGCUAACGCAUUAAGCACUCCGCCUGGGGAGUACGACCGCAAGGUUGAA
rnacentral:rRNA from 1 species